AAUCGAAAAGUAGUUUUUAGAGCGUUUUUCGGCGAAAUCCGCCGAUAGAACGCGGUUUCGGUUCGGAAUUCAUCCGACGACGCCUUGUGGUUGAUUGUUGCGUCGCUGAGCCUUGUUGGCUGGUCACUCGCGUCGUUUUGAGGGUUCGGAAAUGACGGGUGAGCGACAAUGAAGUUUCGGUGCGAUUUUCGGGACUUCCGGCUUAUUCGGUAAUUGGUUUUGGGAAACCGGUCGUGGUUCUGGUGAGCGGGGGUUGUGAGUUAGCAUUACAUGUCAGUGGG
rnacentral:lncRNA from 1 species